GAAACACUGAACUGCCACAUUUCUAGGCUACAUAGUUUUCAGCUACCAGGGUCUUGGCCUCUUUCUUGCUGUGUCUCCGCAGACAUUUAUUUCUUCUUUUGGCCAAACCAUCUAAAAGGAGGCAAUACACACCAUGACGUUUCCCCUCCAGAUAUCUCAGUCUACCUCCUAAGCAAGAAGAAUAUUCUCCUACAUACCCACAUUAUUAUUAAUUUGGAGGAAGAUCAUCACAUUAAUCCAAUACAACCACCAACAUACUUUCUGUGCUCAAAUUUCCCCAGUUGUCAAAAGAAUGUUUAAACAUAGAAACAAAGGAUUUCACCACCCGUUACAUGUUUUCCGUCUUCAGUUUGAACAUCUUGUUACCUCCCUCUGUCCUUCACAAUAUGGUGUCCUUGAAUAGCCCGGGCCAGUUAUCUUCCAGAAUGUCCCACAUUUUGGAUUUGUGUGACUCUGUCUCUGAUGAAACCAGGUCAAACAUUGCUAAGCAAAACACUACAGUGGUGACUGUGUAUACCUCCCCCUGUGUCGAAUCAAGAGGCACAUUGUGUGGUGACAUCUUGAUACCGUGACACUUGCCAAAUAUUUCCAUUGCAAAAGUACAUCUCCCCCUUGGAGCUAGCAAACAAUUUGGGGAGUGAUAAUUUGAUAUUCUGUUUCCAAAGAACUUGCCACUGGUCUGAAUCAUACUGGUGAUAAUAAAAUGAAGAUUUGAAGAAUUUCUCAGACUUUUUAUAUUUUCUUUCCAAAGGAUUUAUUUUAUUCAUGAGUGUGCACGUGUGUGUGUGUGUGUGUGUGUGUGUGUGUGUGUGUGUGUGUGUGUGUGUGUGUGUGUGUAAGUGCCCAGGGAGGUCAGAAAGAGGCUGGAGCUGGAGUUACAGGUGUUUCCAAGCUACCCAGUGUGGGUGCUGGGAUCUGAACUCUGGUCCUCUGGUAGAGCAGUAAGUGCUCCUAACUUCUUAGGCAUCUUUCCAGCCCCACUACCUGACUUUUUAAAGACAUAAGCCUCAGGCUUAUCUCAAAUUCCUGGGCUCAGGUGACCUUCCAGUCUCUGCCCACUGAGUACUAGCACAACUGUGCCAUCAUGCCCAGCUCCCAACUUGUUUUGAUGUUACUCAUUUUGAUAUUCAGAUUACCCAGUGAAGGUCCUUAAGGUUUUCUUUCCUUUUUUGGGGGCAGGGGAGAUGUUCAAGACAGGGUAGCUCUGUGUAGCUCUGGCUCCCCUGGAACUCACUCUGUAGCCCAGGCUGGCCUCGAACUCACAAAGAUCCGCCUGCCUCUGCCUCCCAAGUGCUGGGAUUAAAGCUGUGCACCACUAUGCCCAGCAAAGGUCCUUAAAGUUUUACUUUGUACAUUUAGGGCUCUAAUCUUCUGGAAUUUAGGAAAACUUAGCAGAAGCAGGGGUCUGGUCGUGUCGCUUCAUUAUUCAAACAGUCUACAGUUUCUUAUUCCCAUUUUAAAUACUUCCUAAGAUGUCACACUUCCACAUAAGCAUGCCUGUUUCUAAGCUUUCUGUUCUGUUCUGGGUUUGUGUAAACCUGUGGUCAUAGUCUAAUGUCUUAUUACAUAUUUGAUAAAUCACCUCCAUAUAGACAAUUUACACCUUCUUAUUUUCCAAAAGCAUCUCAGCCUCCACCCAUCGCAAGGAGAAGAAAAAGAGUAACAGUGAAUUCACAAUUAAUUAAUGUAUGUAGUUUGAUAUUUUAUUGGUUCAAAACAUUAACUCGUUAGUAUUACAAGGGAAACCUGGAAAAGUUUAAAGCCAUUCUGGGACAUUUAACAUAGGAAAACAUGAGCAAAGAAUAAUAAAGAGAUUUAAAUAAAAUGUACUUGAAUGUGCACAUAUGUAGACAUGUACAUAGUUACAGUUCCCUUUUUGUUCUUAUUAUUUAUUUAAGCUUUCUUGUUUUUUCCCUUAGGUAUAUUUGCUUGUAGUUUGUCUUUGUUAGAACUACUUAAUUAAUUUUAUGUGUAUGGACGCUUUGCCUGCAUGUAUGUCUAUGUACCACGUGCAUGCCUGGUGCCUGAAGAGGCUAGAAGACAGAUCAGAUUCCCUAGAACUGGAGUUACAGACAGUUAUUAGCCUCUCUGUGGGUGCUGGAAAUUGCCCUGGGUCCUCUAGUAGCCAGUGUUCUUAAUCAGUGAGCCAUCUCUCCAGGUGCUGUAGUUAUGUUUUUUUGUUUGUUUGUUUUUUUGUUUUUUGUUUUUUGGUUUUUGGUUUUUGGUUUUUCCAGACACGGUUUCUCUGUGUAGCUUUGCGCCUUUCCUGGAACUCGCUUUGGAGACCAGGCUGGCCUCGAACUCACAGAGAUCCACCUGGCUCUGCCUCCUGAGUGCUGGGAUUAAAAGCAUGUGCCACCACCGCCCGGCUGUAGUUCUUCUUUUAUUUAGUUUUUGUCCACAGAAUUAAAUUUUGGUUGUGAUGGUAAUUUUGAAUUUAGCAGGAUGUAGCAUCACCUAGGAGAGAGCCUCUGCUGUGCCAGGAGGAGACUGUCUAGAUUAUGUUAAUUUACUGAAGAUUCUCCCUAGAGGUGGGUGUACCAUUCCCUGGGCUUGGGUCCUGGACUGCAUUAAAAAAGAGAGAGACAGAGACAGAGAGACAGAGAGAGACAGAGAGAGAGACAGACAGAGACAGAGAGAGACAGAGACAGAGACAGAGACAGACAGAGAGAGACAGAGAGAGAAUGCAAGCUGAGUGAGAGCAUUCACUGUUUGUUUUGUCCUGAGUAUGGAUACAAUGUGACCAGCUACUUCAAACUCUUACCUUGACUUCUCUAACAUGAUAGACUAUACCCGCAGACUGUAAGCCAAAAUAAAGCCAGCCUUGAGUUGCUUUUGUCAGGGUAUUUUAUCAUGGCAACAGAAAAGGUAACUAAUACACAAGAUAAUGUUUGAACCUGUUUUUUCAUAUUUUAAAAUAUGGAAAAUUAUUUUUGCAGACUUGAAAAUUUAAUGCAUCAUUCAUUUGUUUUAAACAAUAUUUUUUUGCUGUUGUUUCUGGUAAACGUUUCUAGGGUUUCAUUUUAUUUUUAUGUAAUCCUGGAGCCCCAGCUCAUACUUCUCGGUAAGCAUACCACUGAGCCAUAGCCCUUAGGGGGUUGAUUUUCAUAAUUAUUUCGUUCAUCCUUGAUUAAUUCUAGAUAGUUUGUCCCUUCCAUUGUGACUUCUAUUUUAUCUAGUUUUUAAACAUUCUUAAAAUGGAGAGGUUUUUUCUUUUUUAAAUCAUUCUGUUAAAUGCAUUCAAGUUAAUUCAAUUCAUUGUGAUUAGGAUAAAGAGACAAAUGAAAUAAAGAGAAUUUAGCAUUUCUUGACACUGUCAUAUUUUUGUAAACGUUCUAGAUAUUUGAAAAUAAAGUCUUCCUUCCCUGCCCCUCUCCCUCCUUCCUGCCUUCCUCUUUUUCUUUGACAUGGAGUUUUCCUAUAUAGCUGAACUAGAUCAUCCUGCCUCAGCCUCCUGAGUGAGUACCGGGAUUUUAAGUAUGUACCACCAAGCCUGGCAAUUUUCUCUUUUGCUGAGUGUGUUUCCUAGAUUAUAUCAUAUGUUCUAAUUUCAUUUCGGUUGCUAUGAUGAAAAUAUCCUGGCAAAAUUCAACUUAAUGGAAAGUCCAUCAUAGCACAGACACCAACAUGGCAGGAACUGAAAACCAGCUGGUCAUAUCACAUUCACAGUCAGCAGAAGAGAAGAAUAAAUGAAUGCAUACACAAUCACGUACUUGCUUGAAUGUACUUUGCUCAAUUUCUCCUUUUUUUUUUUUUUGGUUUUUCAAGACAGGGUUUCUCUGUGUAGCUUUGCGCCUUUCUUGGAACUCACUCUGUAGACCAGGCUGGCCUUGAACUCACAGAGAUCCACCUGGCUCUGCCUCCCAAGUGCUGGGAUUAAAGGCGUGUGCCACCACCGCAGGUGCUAACUCAGGUCCUCAGGCUUGUGUACCAACCACUUCGCCAGCUGAGCCAUUGCCCCGGCCUCGUUUUUUUAUCUGAGAUGUAGUCUUCUGUAGUCCAGAGAAUCCUCCAACUUGCUGUGGAGUAAAAGAUGACCUUAACUUCUUGCUCUUCCUGUGUUAGCUUCCUGAGUGCUGGGAUUACAGACAUGAGCCACAGUGCCUAGAAUUCUACUGAGUUUUUAUUCCAGAGCCUACUUUUUAAAUGUCUAUGCUUUUUAAUUAGUUCCUUUUCAUUUAAACUUACUCUUGUUUCAUUUCUAUUUCUCUUUCAUAGGUUUGCUCUCUUUUGUUAUCUCAUUAGAAUUCAGUCUAAAGUGUUUGUCAUAUGUGCCCCCAAGUUACUUCAGUGGAAAGAAUCAAUACUCUUGUUGACUGUUAGGUUUUUGUGACAUUUCCUUGGAAUUCCUACAUAAAGGCAACUUUGGGGGGGGGGUAUUUACCAGUCUGUAGUAGCAUAUGUUCCAAGACAGCCAGGAUUACACAGAGAAAACCUGUCUCUAGAAAACAUAGAUAGGUAGGUAGAUAGGUAGGUAGGUAGGUAGGUAGAUAGAUAGAUAGAUAGAUAGAUAGAUAGAUAGAUAGAUAGAUAAUAGGUAGGUUGGUAGGUAGAUAAGGUUUUGAGCUGGGGUAAUGGUUCGGCAGUUAAGAGAACUUGCUAUAUUUUUUACAGAGGACCUAGGUUUGUUUCCCAGCAUCCAUGUGGCUGCUAAAAGCCAUCUGUAACUCCAGUUCCAGAGAAUCUAAUGUCUUCUUGGCUUUCACCAGCACUGCAUGUACAUGAUACACAGAUAUACAUGUAGACAAAACACCCACACACAUAAAAUAAAAAUAAAGAAAUCUUUAAAAAUAAAAUAAAAUCAUGUCUCCCAUAGUUCAGGGUGCCCUGACAAUUCAUGCACCACUAUGUAGCUACAAAGACCUUAAUAUUCUUGCCUAUACUAGUGUUAGGGUCACAGGUGUAUGCCAACCAUACUUGGUCUAUCAGGUGCUGGGAAUUGAACUUAGGACUUCAUGCAUGCUAGGCAAGCAUUUCACCAGUUGAGCUAAUCCUUAGUUCCUGUAGGCAUGGUUUUUAUUGUUGUUGUUCUUUGUUUCUUUUUCCCCCCUGUACUCAACCUGGAUGUUUUAGUGUUUCCUUGUUUUGGCCAAAGAUGCCCUGUCUAAAGUUAGGUUUGUUUGUUUGUUUGUUUGUAUCCUCCCUCCCACCCCGCCCCAAGUGUGUGCAUUCUUUCUUGUGUGUGAGUGCAGGCGUGUGGAGGUAAGAGGACAGCAUUGAGCAUCCAUCUCUUGGUGUUCAUUUCUAUAUGUCCCGACUAGCUGACCUAAGAGCUUCUGAAAUAUCUCCUGCUCCACCUCCAAUCCCCAUAGGAGCCUGGGAUUACAGACCUGUGCUACCAUGUCCAGCUUUAUGUUGGUUCCGAGGCUCCAAACUCCGGUCUUUACAUUUGUACAGCAAGAGGUUUACCUAGACUACAAAAGAUCCUGUCUUCCUGAGCACACAUGGAGUAUUAUCUAGUUGUGAAAAAGGAUGAAGCACUGAUAUUUCUGAUCUAUGUAUGCUAUGACCUACAUGAACCCUGAAAACAUCACACUAUCUAGAAACAGCUGGACACAAAAGGGGGUGCACUGCAUGAUUCGGAAUCUUUUUAUACAAACUAUCCAGAAUAGGCAAAUCCAUACAGACAGAAAAGAGAUUUGGGGGACGAGCGGCUGCAGAAGCAGACAGAGCGGCCGCAGAGGGAGGCUGAGCAGUGAUAAAGGCAGACCGAGUGGCGGCAAAGGUAGGCGGAGCUGUGGCAGAGACAGGCUGAGCAGUGGCAGAGACCUGGAAACAACCUAGAUGCCCGUCAACUGAAGAAUGGAUUAAGAAAAUGUGGUACAUAUACACAACGGAGUACUACUCAGCAGAGAAAAACAAUGACAGCAUGAAAUUUGCAGGCAAAUGGAUGGAACUAGAAAAUAUCCUGAGUGAGGUAACCCAAACCCAGAAGGACAAACAUGGUAUGAACUCACUCAUAAGUGGAUUCUAGAUAUAAAGCAAAGAACAAUCAGACUGCAACCCACAGAACCAGGGAGGCUAUAUGGCAGGAGGGACCCUAGGAUGACUGUGGCUUAGAAUAAGUUUUGGUUUUACUCAAAAAAAAUAAAUAAAUAAACAACAAAAAAAGAAAAUAGAUUUGGGGGUUUGGGGUAUGGUGAGAGAAAUAGGGGAGUGAUUGUUAACUGAUGGACAUGGAGUUUUCUUGGCAAAGAUGAAAAUGUUAUAAAUUGGGGGAAACAUUGGGGGAUAUACUAAAAAAUCAUUGACCUGUACUUCAUCAUCAUUAUUAGUAUCAUUAUUAUUGGGUGUCUUUUUUUUUUUUUUGAGACAGGGUUUCUCUGUGUAGCUUUGUACCUUUCCUGGAACUCACUAUGUAGCCUAGGCUGGCCUUGAACUCACAGAGAUCCACCUGCCUCUGCCUCCCCCGUGCUGGAAUCAAAGGACUGGGCCACCACCACCACCUGGUUAGCUUUUUUUUUUUUUUUUUUUUUUUUUGGUUUUUCAAGACAGGGUUUCUCUGUGCAGCUUUGCGCCUUUCCUGGAUCUCACUCUGUAGAUCCACCUGCCUCUGCCUCCCAAGUGCUGGGAUUAAAGGCGUGUGCCACCACCGCCCAGUUUUUUGUUUUUUUUUUAAGAAACUCUUUUUAAAAAGAGAGAGAGUGUGUGUGUG